AAGUCGUAACAAGGUUUCCGUAGGUGAACCUGCGGAAGGAUCAUUAAUGAAUUGAUAGGGAGUUGAUGCUGGCUGUCCUUCGGGGUAGCAUGUGCUCGCUUCCGACAAUCUUAUCCAUACACCUGUGCACACAUGUGAGGGGGAACUGAGAAGUCCCUCCUUAUUAUACAUACACCCAAUUAGGAAAUCGCACGUGACUUGCGUCGUAUGGCGCUUAAAAACGAAAUACAACUUUUAACAACGGAUCUCUUGGCUCUC
rnacentral:misc_RNA from 1 species